UACGUAGGGUGCAGGCGUUAAUCGGAAUUACUGGGCGUAAAGCGUGCGCAGGCGGUUUGCUAAGACAGGUGUGAAAUCCCCGGGCUUAACCUGGGAACUGCGCUUGUAACUGGCAAGCUGGAGUGUGGCAGAGGGGGGUGGAAUUCCGACGUGUAGCGUGAAAUGCGUAGAGAUGUGGAGGAACACCGAUGGCGAAGGCAGCCCCCUGGGCUAACACUGACGCUCAUGCACGAAAGCGUGGGGAGCAAACAGG
rnacentral:rRNA from 1 species